CGGCCACUUCCGCGUUCCCCCGAACUCGCCGAGCGCGGCCCCGCCCCUGCUCUCUACUGCGCAGGCGCGGUAGCAUUGCGCUUGCGCACAGACACAGCUGUCACACGUCCCUCUGCGCACGUGAGUGGCACUGGGCCUGUGGAGGAAAGCAGACACCACAAUGUAGUAAAACACUGCAACAUCAUCCUGCUACGCUGAGUAAACAUUUGGCUUUGAGUGAAAACAUCCCCUAGGGGCUGCACCCUGAUGAGCUCGACCGCUGAUACGCUGGAAAAGCACUGGUUUGUAGUUACAAAAAACAAGGAUCCAACCCUGGAAUACAAAUCAAAAUAGUUGAAGACCAAGGCACAGGCUAAAAUCUCCAAUACCAGAAACUUUCCAGGAUCAUAGCAGCUAGAGACGCCGAAAGCCUAUUAUAUCAUCAAGGCAUUUCCCUGCCAAUACAGUACAGUUCCCUGACGCAGGAGGUAUCAAAGAGACAAGGUGGGUAUGGUAAUACAUGUUAUUGGACCAACAUUGCAUACGGGUAUCAGAUACUUAACUGAUACCAUCUGUGGCUGUGCCUGCCUCUUCUUGUCUCCUUCAUAUUCCAAGUGGGAAUACUCUUGGGGCUGAUGGGACAGCUGAUGUUUCAGGAACUACAGUAAUGCCCGACCUUGGGCACCAAAAGCUAGGACGUCAAACCCUGUUCACCCCUCCUGGAUUUGAAUGUAGCCCAAGGACCCAGCGCCUCCCCGCUGCUGAAAUGUGGCAGAGAUUGACCCAAAAUAAAUGGGACCCUACUUCAAGCCUUACCGAUUCUGAAUGCCACUUUGGUCUAGUUUUAUUCCGAAAAAGAUGGCUCCCACAAUCAGGG